rnacentral:rRNA from 1 species
GCAGUGGGGAAUUUUGGACAAUGGGCGCAAGCCUGAUCCAGCAAUGCCGCGUGAGUGAAGAAGGCCUUCGGGUUGUAAAGCUCUUUUGUCAGGGAAGAAACGGCCGGGACUAAUAUUCCUGGCUAAUGACGGUACCUGAAGAAUAAGCACCGGCUAACUACGUGCCAGCAGCCGCGGUAAUACGUAGGGUGCAAGCGUUAAUCGGAAUUACUGGGCGUAAAGCGUGCGCAGGCGGUUUUGUAAGUCUGUCGUGAAAGCCCCGGGCUCAACCUGGGAAUUGCGAUGGAGACUGCAAGGCUUGAAUCUGGCAGAGGGGGGUAGAAUUCCACGUGUAGCAGUGAAAUGCGUAGAGAUGUGGAGGAACACCGAUGGCGAAGGCAGCCCCCUGGGUCAAGAUUGACGCUCAUGCACGAAAGCGUGGGGAGCAAACAGGAUUAGA